GUUAUUCUUUAAUUGGGUUGAUUAGCAGCGGCAGGCUUGGCCCAAUGAUCGUUCUUCAUCUCCCUCAUUUUCUCCCACAGCCACAAGUGAACAUAAGCAAACUGGGAUCAAAUGUGAAGCUAAUCAUGUGGCAAUACCCAGUGAUGGAACUGACGUUUGGGAAAUUGAUCUUAAACACUUGAAGUUUGAAAGCAAAGUUGCUUCAGGGUCAUAUGGCGAUCUGUAUAGAGGUACAUACUGCAGUCAGGAAGUUGCUAUUAAAAUCCUCAAGCCUGAGCGCAUAAACACCGAUAUGGAGAAAGAGUUUGCGCAGGAGGUUUUUAUUAUGAGGAAAGUUCGACACAAAAAUGUGGUACAAUUUAUAGGUGCAUGCACCAAACCGCCAAGUUUGUGUAUUGUGACAGAAUUUAUGUCUGGUGGAAGUGUCUACGACUACCUACAUAAACAGAAGGGUGUAUUCAAGCUUCCAUCCCUACUGAAAGUAGCAAUAGAUGUUUCCAAAGGGA